GGGGGUGCACCGGUUUCGACUGGUACGGUUCGGGAUACAGGCCGCAGGUGGAGCGCCCAUCUCCUGAUUGGGCAAAACUUUAACUGCCAACAACGACAGUUACGAUUACGCCUUAGCUGCGUAACCGCGUGGAACCGUUCCGCCGCUCUGAGGAACGGCUUCCGCGUCGCAAUCAGGGCUGGCCGUACCGCCGCUUCCGGAGGCGGCGCGGCAAGAAUACCCGGAAUACGGAGGGGCCGCGCGCUGUCUAGCCAAGCCCUUCCCGACAAUGCAAUAGGCGGCUAAACCUGUAGACGCCUGUGUUUCGCGUAUUAGGACGCGGGUUCGAUUCCCGCCACCUCCACGC
rnacentral:tmRNA from 1 species